UACGAAGGGGGCAAGCGUUGCUCGGAAUUAUUGGGCGUAAAGCGCACGUAGGCGGCUUAGCAAGUCGGAAGUGAAAUCCCACGGCUCAACCAUGGAAGUGCUUUCGAAACUGCUGAGCUUGAGUACAGAAGAGGAUCGCGGAAUUCCCGGUGUAGAGGUGAAAUUCGUAGAUAUCGGGAGGAACACCAGUGGCGAAGGCGGCGAUCUGGGUUGAUACUGACGCUGAGGUGCGAAAGCGUGGGGAGCAAACAGG
rnacentral:rRNA from 1 species